ACGAACGCUGGCGGCGUGCUUAACUCAUGCAAGUCGAACGGAAAGGCCCUGCUUUUGUGGGGUGCUCGAGUGGCGAACGGGUGAGUAACACGUGAGUAACCUGCCCUUGACUUUGGGAUAACUUCAGGAAACUGGGGCUAAUACCGGAUAGGAGCUCCUGCUGCAUGGUGGGGGUUGGAAAGUUUCGGCGGUUGGGGAUGGACUCGCGGCUUAUCAGCUUGUUGGUGGGGUAGUGGCUUACCAAGGCUUUGACGGGUAGCCGGCCUGAGAGGGUGACCGGCCACAUUGGGACUGAGAUACGGCCCAGACUCCUACGGGAGGCAGCAGUGGGGAAUAUUGCACAAUGGGCGGAAGCCUGAUGCAGCAACGCCGCGUGCGGGAUGACGGCCUUCGGGUUGUAAACCGCUUUCGCCUGUGGCGAAGCGUGAGUGACGGUAAUGGGUAAAGAAGCACCGGCUAACUACGUG
rnacentral:rRNA from 1 species